AACGAACGCUGGCGGCAGGCUUAACACAUGCAAGUCGAACGCCCCGCAAGGGGAGUGGCAGACGGGUGAGUAACGCGUGGGAACAUACCCUUUUCUACGGAAUAGCUCUGGGAAACUGGAAUUAAUACCGUAUACGCCCUACGGGGGAAAGAUUUAUCGGGGAAGGAUUGGCCCGCGUUGGAUUAGCUAGUUGGUGGGGUAAAGGCCUACCAAGGCGACGAUCCAUAGCUGGUCUGAGAGGAUGAUCAGCCACAUUGGGACUGAGAGACGGCCCAAACUCCUACGGGAGGCAGCAGUGGGGAAUAUUGGACAAUGGGCGCAAGCCUGAUCCAGCCAUGCCGCGUGAGUGAUGAAGGCCUUAGGGUUGUAAAGCUCUUUCACCGAUGAAGAUAAUGACGGUAGUCGGAGAAGAAGCCCCGGCUAACUUCGUG
rnacentral:rRNA from 1 species